AUUGAACGCUGGCGGCAGGCUUAACACAUGCAAGUCGAGCGGAGUGAUGGUGCUUGCACUAUCACUUAGCGGAGGACGGGUGAGUAAUGCUUAGGAAUCUGCCAUUUAGUGGGGGACAACAUUCCGAAAGGAAUGCUAAUACCGCAUACGUCCUACGGGAGAAAGCAGGGGAUCUUCGGACCUUGCGCUAAAUGAUGAGCCUAAGUCGGAUUAUCUAGUUGGUGGGGUAAAGGCCUACCAAGGCGACGAUCUGUAGCGGGUCUGAGAGGAUGAUCCGCCACACUGGGACUGAGACACGGCCCAGACUCCUACGGGAGGCAGCAGUGGGGAAUAUUGGACAAUGGGCGGAAGCCUGAUCCAGCCAUGCCGCGUGUGUGAAGAAGGCCUUUUGGUUGUAAAGCACUUUAAGCGAGGAGGAGACUACUUUAGAUAAGACCUAGAGAUAGUGGACGUUACUCGCAGAAUAAGCACCGGCUAACUCUGUGCCAGCAGCCGCGGUAACAC
rnacentral:rRNA from 1 species